rnacentral:rRNA from 1 species
AGUGAACGCUGGCGGCAGGCCUAAUACAUGCAAGUCGAACGGCAGCGCGGGGCAACCUGGCGGCGAGCGGCGAACGGGUGAGUAAUACAUCGGAACGUGCCCAGACGUGGGGGAUAACUACUCGAAAGAGUGGCUAAUACCGCAUACGAUCUAAGGAUGAAAGCGGGGGAUCGCAAGACCUCGCGCGUUUGGAGCGGCCGAUGGCAGAUUAGGUAGUUGGUGGGGUAAAGGCUUACCAAGCCCGCGAUCUGUAGCUGGUCUGAGAGGAUGAUCAGCCACACUGGGACUGAGACACGGCCCAGACUCCUACGGGAGGCAGCAGUGGGGAAUUUUGGACAAUGGGCGAAAGCCUGAUCCAGCCAUUCCGCGUGCAGGAUGAAGGCCCUCGGGUUGUAAACUGCUUUUGUACAGAACGAAAAGCUCUGGCUAAUACCUGGAGUCCAUGACGGUACUGUAAGAAUAAGCACCGGCUAACUACGUGCCAGCAGCCGC